UACGUAGGGUCCAAGCGUUAUCCGGAAUCACUGGGCGUAAAGCGUGCGUAGGCGGUCUGUUAAGUGAGAUGUGAAAGCGUGUGGCUCAACCAUAUCGUUGUGUUUCAUACUGGCAGACUAGAGGGAAGCAGAGGCAAGUGGAAUUAGCAGUGUAGCAGUGAAAUGCGUAGAGAUCUGGAGGAACACCGAUGGCGAAGGCAGCCUUCUGGGCCAACACUGACGCUCAUGCACGAAAGCGUGGGGAGCAAACAGG
rnacentral:rRNA from 1 species